rnacentral:miRNA from 1 species
CAUUGACUGUAUGCAUUGGGAG